UACGUAGGGUGCAAGCGUUAAUCGGAAUUACUGGGCGUAAAGCGUGCGCAGGCGGUGAUGUAAGACAGUUGUGAAAUCCCCGGGCUCAACCUGGGAACUGCAUCUGUGACUGCAUCGCUGGAGUGCGGCAGAGGGGGAUGGAAUUCCGCGUGUAGCAGUGAAAUGCGUAGAUAUGCGGAGGAACACCGAUGGCGAAGGCAAUCC
rnacentral:rRNA from 1 species